UCACCACAGGUCUGAGUUAUCAGUGCCUUAGCUAUACACCUUGCUCUGAGGGCAGUAAGCUGCCCUGCUGUAGAGGACUGAAGCUGAGUUAAUUAGCACUGAUAAUAUACGACUGUGGGCUGGCUUCAGGGGCGGUGGGUUGGCCGAUGUAGAUAGGGUGCAGGUGUGGCUGGUUAAGUGAAGUGGUUGAGAACCAGUGAAGAGAGAGCAGCCGAGGAGGAGAAGGUGAGAGAGAAAGAAGCAGAGAAAAGAGAGAGCAUGCUCUAGAUGAAGUGAGAUGAGAACAGCAGAGGGACUGUAUGAAGAACAUGCCAGUAUGAGGUGGUAAAAGAUGUUGUUGCAGCUUGAUGGUUUGGAGAGUGCCGCAACACCCUGCGUCACCUAGAAGCUCCUUUUCCUUUCCAAAACAUGGGCUUGUCUUCUUGGCCCUGCCAAUGCUUGGCAGCUCUGUGUAUCUUACCCCUACGGCCUGGGUUUCUGCUCAGCCCCUGCUCCAAGAACAAUGCUGCUACAGCAAGCGCUAGAAGGCUAGAUGUGUUAAGGAAUACAAAGAAUUUGGAAGCUAUAGUGAUGGACGUCAAGUAAACUGAAAGAGGUAAGGUGUGAGCUGGAAAUAAAGUGUAAAUCAAAGUUAUGAGGGUUACCCUAAAGUUAUAAUGGAAGCCACAACAAACAAACUUACAAACUAAGUUUACUGUAUUUUCCCAGAUCAGUCAUUUAAAAGUUAGGAGGAACUGGGGUUAGGGAUGCUUGAACAACACAUUUUUUUUCUCCUUGUGUAUGUUCAUUAAAACAUUCUUUAAUGCCAGCAUCGUAUAUAAAUUUUUCCAGAUGAGCUGUUAUGAGCAUCUGUUACAAUACUGUAAAAUAACGGCAUAGGGAUGUGGUUUAGUGGUGGACUUGGUAGUCCUGGAUUAACAGUUAGUCUUGAAGAUCUUAAAGGUCUUUUCCAACCUAAAUGAUUAUAUGGUUCGACAAUUCUAUAUAUGACCAGAAGGCCUCUGGAAUUGCAGAGGUAUUAAAUAGAUCCCAUACAUCAGUUGUUUGUUGGUCUGUCUAGUGACAGGCCACUGUUUAUCUUAUGAUAAAAUAGCAUGUUAAGGAAAUGCCUCUCUGAACUGCAUUUCUAUAGAAAAUGUUUUUGUAUGGAGAAAAUAUAAGGAAAAGGUAAGAUGAGAAAAGUAAAAAAAAAAAAAAAAGUAACUUGAGAAAUUCAGGGGCAAUAAAUCACCACGCCAGAUGGUAUUCAUCUGUGAAUGCUGUGCAGAGCUAUCAAUUUAAAAAAUUGCACAGGAGUGUGCCAUUAAAAUGCAGACAUAAUAUCUGCCCAUCUUGGCAGUGCCUGGGCAGGUAAGAGGUGACUUGGUUCCACCUGCCAACAUCUCUAGGUGCCCACUGCAGCCUUCAAAAAUUGGACUUGUGGAUUGUGUGUCUAUUUACUUAAUGAUUCUCUUCAUUAUCAUGAGGGAGUGCAACUAGAUGAGUGUAUUCUGAAUAAUAUUUUGAAAAUCCAUGAGAUUGAUUUACAAUGAUCUUCCUGCCAGUUUACAGGCCUGCUGAGAAAAAAUGCUUUAUGUCGAGCUCACACGCCUUUCACCUUAGCAGGGCUUUCGGAUUUGUUGGCCCUGUGUACAAGGAGACAGCCUGUGGUACGCCUACAUGUGGUUCUGAAGAUCAGGAGUGAAGUCGCAUGCUGCCAUCAAUGUGUAACCCAGCAGAAGGUGCUCCUGCCGUCAAGACCACUCUACAGACCCAUCCUGGUCACCCUGAGUGGGGCUUUUCAGAUGUUACGAGUAUUUCCCAGGCAACGUGUAGAUCCACUUGGUGGGUGUUGGACUGCGGCGCUUGCUCCUCAGGAAGCUUAGCACUGAUGUGAAAGCUGUUCGGAGCCUGGCAAGGGGCAGAACUGGAAAAACGGUGAGACGGAGCUUACUUUUCUGACAUUCCUCCUAGUCUAACGUGCUUGAUUUAAUCCUCAGGUUGUUUCCCAAUGAACUUCUACACUCUCUGAUGCAGAAAGAAACCUGUGGCAAAAUAAGCUUAUAGUAACAGCAUUGUAAAUCCAUGAUGAAGUACCAUAGUAAUGUUCCUGCAAAGAAGUUUCAAGUGGAGCUUUGCUUGGUGAGUCUCCUCAAAAUGGUCUCAUUCCAGGUUUGCCAUGGAGAAGCUGCUGGUUUUAUCCUGCUCCCCUGCUCACAUAAAUGUCAUUGAUUCAGCACUGGGGCAUUGCAGAUCGAUGGGGCUGUCUUUCCAAAUGUGCAGCUCCUCACGGGCAGAUGGAUGGCGAAGCAGCAGUUCUCUUUGCCAGGAGGUAUGGAGACAGAGCAACACGGUGGCAGUGACAUAGCAGGUUUUCCUGCCUGUACCUGCUCUUUUUCUCAAAGUUAAAAUCUAGCAUCCUUGCAGGAAGGAGCAAUGCAGGAUGGGAGCAGUGCCUUAUUCUUUACUGGUGAAGUCCCACCUGGCAAGGAGAAGAACCAGAGAGAAAAUGGUUUUCCUGGAGAAAAAACGUCUUCCUGGCAGAUGGCUCGGCCAGCCAGCAAGGAUUGCAAACCUCUCUGGGAAUCCUUUCUUUAUGGCUAGUGAGAAGGUGAUAUUGCUAGUGACAGCACAGAAAGAUUGGCUGAAAUAAAAUAAAGAGGUUUCCAUGGUGAUCCCUUCAUAUUGCAGUAAAUUUCAUCUCACAGUCAGCUGGGCUGUGUUUCUUCCCCCGGAGGAAGAGUCCUCGGCUCCCCCUGCGUUGUUAGUUACUGCUGGUGUGAACAAAGUGCUGGCAGACCCUGAGCAAAGCCAGCGACACAGACACCUCUGCGGUGGCCUCGUUAAUUAUCCCAAAGAGCUCGGACAGGCUACAGGUGCUUUAGAAAUAAUCCUGCUUUCUGUUUUGAACUGUAAAUAGAUGAAGAAUAGAUAUAAAGAUAAAGCUGUGGUUAAAGGUAAGAGAGGAAAGAAAUGGGUUUCUUCCCAUUUUAUGGCUGGGGAAAGAACCAGAGUCAAAUUGUGGAGCUCCCGCAAAACCAGAGCCCAGCAGCUGUCAGAGGAGGGAAUUGAACAUGUAAUUCCCAAACUCCAGCACAGGAGAUGUCUUUUCUCCUGAGGUGAAUGCUGGGCAAGACACUGACCUGCAGAGAGACCGCCGGCGGGGAAGGGGAGCUCCCUCUUUGCACUCAGGUGACUGAUCUAGCAUCACCUACGGGAGCGUGGCAAAGGGAAGAGGCCGGGGGUCCUCCCAGGUUGUGUGCUGACAGGGCUGAAAACUGACAAAAGAAUGACCUUUCGUUUCAGAAGAUGAGGAAACCCCUCCAGCUGUUGAAGCCAAUUACUCGCAGGUCCCACAUAAGCAUGAUCUCUCCUACGGUGCUAAAGAAAUGAGCAGCCGCAAGACGUGUCUCGCUGUGGGUAGGCUCAGCGAUGAGCUUCCCGGCUCCUUCCUGGGAUGACGACAUCUUUCCAUCUGCAUCUGAAUCCGAGAGUCACGAACGCAGUGCUAGUCAAGCUUUGCCACCCAAAACAUGCUUAAUAUGAAAAGCAUUUCCCUAAGAAGGUGUGUCAUUGAAUGCAAAUGAAUGCUGCCUUAAGACCAUGCUAAUUUAUGCUGCAGAGUGAAUCUGUCUGCUUAAUGCACUACACAACCAAAAAACCUGACCUACCCGUGGCCACACUCAAACCUCUGCGUCUUUGGGAUCAUCUAUUUUACGUUAUAUAGAAUUCAAAUAAUAUGCUGGAGACUUGAGAAGCAAGGAGGGAUGUGCGAGAGGCACGCGCUGAUUACUACUAGCUGUAGCAGCUCAGGGUGUGCAGGGCCUCCUGGGAGAGCAGCAGGUGUAUGGGGUGAGCUGCUCCUAAACAUCAAAAUUGCUGGGGUCAGCUACCAGCUCCAAGCUGGGAACUCAUCACGGGAAAGGAUAAAAUGACGCUUCUGAAGGCUUUUUUUCUUUUCCUUCCCCCUCCUGAAAUUAAUCUUUCUUCCAGAGCUGGGAAAAGCUGAGACUUGUUUCUCUUGAGGCCGUUGUGCUCGGCUUUAGCAAAACGCUGGAUCCCACCUUCUGCUGUCUGAUUUGUAAAUCUGAACUGUCAGGAAGCUGGGAUUGCAGCCCCAGCCUUGAAAAGCACCAGCCCACCCAGCCUGGCAAAUGGCCCAGCCCUCGUCCUGCCUGCUACCUAUGCUCUGCAUGGAGCUGCGGCUGCCAAGGGAGGGAUGGGGAGGGUCCGCUGGCCACCAAACCAGCUGGUUGGGCAGGCUGAUGCCCUUGGAGGUACUGCAUGCUCUGCGCUGGGACACAUUACACCCGGAGCCUUGGGAUUAACGUGCUCAGGUUUGUUGAGCCCCAGCCGCUUUUCGAGAUAGCCUUUCAUCAGGUGAGGUGUGUUUCGAGACAACCUUCCAUAAGGUGGAGCUGAGAGGUAGGGGGCAUCAGAAAGUGCUUGAACCAUGUGAGCGUUUUGUUGGAUAUUUUUCUUAUUUUGCUGUUUGAAGGAAAACUGCUGCAUCUGCAGGCUGGAAGACUUCAUCAGUGCUCCACAAAGAUGCCUUUUGGGAGGACCCAGGACAAGUGGGAGCUUUGGUAGGGAAAGGAACUGGCAUGAAGUUGCCACUCUGAGCAAGACAGACAUCCCAGGUGCUAAUUUCCUGCUAUUGUCGGUGUGAACUGGGGCUCAACCCUCUAGAUUGCAGGAGGGCAGCUACAAAAACACAUUUGGCAGCCAACUUUCAAUGUGUCACCAGUGAUGUUCAUAUUACUAUGUUAAGGGAAAGCUGUGACUCCUUCUGCAAGGAAAAGAGCUUUUAAACAGAAAACAAACCACAGAAAACAAUGAGAGAUCAAGACAUAUGCUGACUGACUCUGCAAGGAGAACUUAAAGUCUUAGGAUGCAAAAUAAAAAGACAUAGGCUGGAGGCUGUGAUCGUUGUCCCAGUUCAAUGCUGCUGAGCCGCGAUACCUCGGCAUCAGCCAGGCAAUCUGCCUGGGGUCAUUGCUCACAUCUCCCUCGCUUCUCCCCCCAAGUGGCACGUGUGUCUUACCAGGGUAAAUUUGCUUUGCAAAUCUACCUUUGUGUCUUCAGAUUAGCUUUAUUUGCUCAAGGAUUUUGGAGGUAACGUGGGGGAAUAUUCAUCCUUCUAUUAGUUAAAAUUUCUGCUUCUUGUUAACAUCGUACCAGCAUGUCAUUCAAGGCAAGCACCUAAAGUGGGUAUUUUGGGGAUUAGAGAUGCAUUUUCUUCUUUGCUUUUAAAUAGUUUUUCUUGAAGUUACUGACUCCAUCGUGGGUAAAUCUCCACUGCGGUCACUGCUGUGAGUACAGCUCAGGUUGACCAUUGGCUUCUACUUUUGCUGCAUAGGAGUGCUGCUUAGCAGAAAAAACGCAGAGUCUGGUACAUACGGUAAGGUCAUCCAAGGACACAUGUAAACAUUAACUCUCAGCACCACCUGUGUAGGUGUGCUUUUGCUGUCCAGUGCUCUCUGCUUUGCUAGCACUGAUGAUAAGGCAUCCUUCAUCUUUGUGCAUCCUUCCCAGAACCCGACAGUGACGUAGGAGUGUGCAGUACGUGGUCUUCUGGCUGUGAAGGCUCAACAGUCAUGUCUUCCUGCUUGCUCUUCUGAGUAACUCAGCAUUAAUUUUAGGGGUGAUGUGAGGAACAGAACCUGAUCACGUGUGCUGUCAGAGCUGGAGAAGGGGAAGCAAAAUCCCAGACAAGUUAUUUAGUCACCUGCUUGUGCCAGAGGAGCCUUGUGACACUCUCCUACCAGCCAGUUUUAUUCCCAGCAGAAUGGUUUAUUGUAAGCUUCUUUAUUUAGAGCAGAGAGAAAGUCCUUCCAGCAGGAAUUUUUGCCUCAGACUAGCCCUGCCCCACAUCUGCUGCACAUCCAAAUUACCCAGGACAGCCUAACGACCUCAGCAUGUUGCACCUGGUCAACAGGGGAUUUUCAGUCAAAGACCACAGGUGGAUUCAAAGAAGGGUCAAGGGUCUUCAAUGUAUAGGAGGAGGGGAAGAGAACCGUUCAUAGCAUAGAAAAUACACUGAAAUUGCACAAAAUGGUGAGUUCUGAUCUCAAAACUAUCUUUGGCUGCCUGGAAAAUAAGCUUCAGCUUUUUCACAGGUAACACUUUCUGGAGACAGGCUAGAGAUAGUGGAGCAGAACAACAAGAGAUACAAAGGAGUGGGCUUUUGCCAUAGAGGAGAUUCUGGGCAGCACACAGAUCUUCUUGGUGUGCUUAGGUGAGGCCAAGAGGGUAUCUCAUUGUCCUUCCUCAAGCUGCAAAGCAGCAGAGCUCUGCUUGCUCCAGCAGCAUGCUGACUGCCUGGCAUCCUGGCAAAUGGGUUGGCAGGGAAGUGGGAGAGCUGCAGGAGAAGAGCAUUAGCCAAAAUGUGCUGCCUGGGUGGCCCAGACCUCAGGGAUUACCCAGAGUUUGGGAGCAACAGAUACCUAAGGUAAGCAAAGGUAAGCAAAGCAGCCUUGCCUGAAUCUCUGCUGAGGUUCAAAGAAGCCCAAAAGUAUUUUCUGAUGUCUCGGUCUUUGCCCUUGUGGGCUCUGCAAGCAGAGAGGGGCUGUGUUACCUGCUCUGCUCUGCUGCAGGACUCUCUGCAGUUCAUGAACACACAAAUGCACGUAAUCAGAGUAGGCAUCCAUCCAUCCAUCCAUCCACCAGAAAGCAUUAGCAGUGUGCUCAGGAAUCGUAUUGAGGGAAGCAACCGCCAACUCCAACAAUGUGGUGUCUGCAGAAAUUUGUUACUCUUUAUUUAAAAAAAAAAAAAAAAAAGGCCAGAAAUUUUUGUACAAUUCCCAUUUGUUAAAAAACGUGCAAGCACCUCAUUAACUCUGAUGCUACGGUAUUUUUGGCUAGCUGCAUUGCUAAGCAUGUGUAAAGCUCUGAUGAAGUGCAAGAAAUUACCUUUGUAACAGCAGUGGUGUCUUCUGAAUACAGUUAGCGCUUCCUCAGAACUGAUAAGGUGCGAAAAAUGAUCUUCCCAUCUACAGUUGUGUCAACUGAAUGCAAUUAGCACCUCUACAUGUGUUUAAAAUCAUGACCGCAGGUUAUGUGUUUCAGCAGCCUGCAAUACAUUAGCGCUUAAUCCCGUCUUUGUGAAUCGAGAGAAAAAAAUCUCUGCAAAACCAGUGCAAUGAAUACAAUUAAGUGCUAUUAACAUUCCAUUAACUAUUUUUAAUGAAGUAAAUCCAAUCCCAAAUUGGUGAACAAUGGACUAGGGACUUUUCAUAGCUCACAGACAGCAGAUGCUUGCUGUAUAGACACGUGUCAGAGGAAGAUGUCUUGGAAGAUGUCUUUACUACUGCUAGACCUUGUUUAAACAGCUCUGUUAAACUGGGGUGGCAAAGCCAGGCUUUUCCCUUCAUUCUUAGGAUGCAGGCAGCCCAGGAUGCUGCGGAGAGUGUGGGAUGCUCCUUCUGAAAAUGCUGCCUUCUCUGAAGGGAAAAUAAGAGAGAGAAAGAACGAGAAAGCAAGCACAAUAGGUAUUUUUUCCUUUGGUGCAAGCAGCCAGGUUCCAGUGUAUUGACCACUUAUAAUAUCCCUCUCAGUUCUUCUGUAACUUGCACUAAAAGAGAUCCUGUCUAUGUCUCUUUAUGGAAGUCUCUCCAUGGCCAAAUAAUUAUUGUCAGCAGCCUCCAAACUCCUCCUUUUCCUGCUGUUUUCCUUCCAAGUUUGACUGACUUAAACUUACUACGUGGAGGAUUAGUGUGACUUAUGCAAGAGCUUCAGUAUUUUUUUUCAUGCAAACAUGGCGUACAUGCAGAAUGGUCACAUUCACACGUCACACUUCUCUUAUGAAUAUUUGAAAGCUGUAAAUAAGAAACACACCUCAAAAGGAUCGAAAAAUACUUUGAUCCCAAACACACUUUUACACUAUAUUUUGAACAAAUGAUGAGUCCAAGCCUUUUUCUGUGCUGGGACUCAUCUGGCCCACUGCCCAAGGCCAUACUUUUCAAGAAGUUUUACUGAAAUGACUGGCAACGCUCCACAACAGCAAACAUCCCCAUGCUGGGGCUCGGAAUGGCAGCUGGCUGCAACAGCAACAGCUCCUAUAUCUCACCUCUAUUCAUUUACUAAAAGCCAGUUAUGGGUUUUUCACUUUCAAGAGGGAUCUGCAACAGCUGUGACUUUAUUAUUGUUAUUAUUAUUUUCUUUCCAUUUUUUCCCGGUAAAUUUGUAAUUGAAAGCGACAGAUCUCUGUCUGGGACACUUGACGGUGGAUGUACAGUGCUUCUGUUGCUAGCAGCAGCCCCAUGCUGGCAUGAAGACUGUAGCUUGUUAGGGCAGAAGAAAACACCAUGCCCAACUUGUUUCACUCCCUACAUAACACAGGACAUAAAGCUUUACUCAGUGACUCCUGCACAGAGCCAAAUAACUUGUGGCUGAACUAGGGCAUAUCUUUGAGAAAGACACACUCAAUCUCACUGUAAUUUAUUCUUGACCAUCCUUUAUUUUCUCUGUGUUUCCACAAUACAUGGCACUCUGCACAGGAAUAACUGCUCUGAGAAAGAUUAACAUCUGCAAAGAGCUCCGAGAGUGAUAUUGUCCUGGUUCUGAACCUAAAUCCAAGCCCUAUACCGGUUAAUAGAAAUGUCUGCUGUGAAUUUAGAUGUUCAUGGUUUUUUUCUUCUUGAUGAAGCAGAGGUUGCUGCUGCAAGUCAGGCUCCUUACUUUUCCCCUUUCUCCCCUGAACAUAUGAGAUGGAGUUACCACCCAAGAUGAACGUCUGUUGAAAAGGUCCUUCUCACACCUGAGAAGCCUCCAAGGUAACCAGGAUGCAAAUGCCUGAUGGUAAGUGCCUGGGAUGCUGCUGGUGAC